CAACGGAGAGUUUGAUCCUGGCUCAGGAUGAACGCUGGCGGCGUGCUUAACACAUGCAAGUCGAACGAACCUUCGGGUUAGUGGCGGA
rnacentral:rRNA from 1 species